rnacentral:tRNA from 1 species
GCCCAGGUAGCUUACCAUAGUCAGAGCAUUGUUCUGAUACACCAAGGUCUCUGGUUUAAUACCAGGUUAGGGUA